rnacentral:rRNA from 1 species
GAUGAACGCUGGCGGCGUGCCUAAUACAUGCAAGUCGAGCGAACGGACGAGAAGCUUGCUUCUCUGAUGUUAGCGGCGGACGGGUGAGUAACACGUGGAUAACCUACCUAUAAGACUGGGAUGACUUCGGGAAACCGGAGCUAAUACCGGAUAAUAUUUUGAACCGCAUGGUUCAAAAGUGAAAGACGGUCUUGCUGUCACUUAUAGAUGGAUCCGCGCUGCAUUAGCUAGUUGGUAAGGUAACGGCUUACCAAGGCAACGAUGCAUAGCCGACCUGAGAGGGUGAUCGGCCACACUGGAACCGAGACACGGUCCAGACUCCUACGGGAGGCAGCAGUAGGGAAUCUUCCGCAAUGGGCGAAAGCCUGACGGAGCAACGCCGCGUGAGUGAUGAAGGUCUUCGGAUCGUAAAACUCUGUUAUUAGGGAAGAACAUAUGUGUAAGUAACUGUGCACAUCUUGACGGUACCUAAUCAGAAAGCCACGGCUAACUACGUG